rnacentral:rRNA from 1 species
CGCAAUGGCGCAGCUACCAUGCAAGUCGAGCGGUAGCACAGGGGAGCUUGCUCCCUGGGUGACGAGCGGCGGACGGGUGAGUAAUGUCUGGGAAACUGCCUGAUGGAGGGGGAUAACUACUGGAAACGGUAGCUAAUACCGCAUAACGUCGCAAGACCAAAGAGGGGGACCUUCGGGCCUCUUGCCAUCAGAUGUGCCCAGAUGGGAUUAGCUAGUAGGUGGGGUAAUGGCUCACCUAGGCGACGAUCCCUAGCUGGUCUGAGAGGAUGACCAGCCACACUGGAACUGAGACACGGUCCAGACUCCUACGGGAGGCAGCAGUGGGGAAUAUUGCACAAUGGGCGCAAGCCUGAUGCAGCCAUGCCGCGUGUGUGAAGAAGGCCUUCGGGUUGUAAAGCACUUUCAGCGAGGAGGAAGGUGGUGAACUUAAUACGUUCAUCAAUUGACGUUACUCGCAGAAGAAGCACGGCUAAACUCCCGUGCCAGCAGCCGCGGUAAUACGGAGGGUGCAAGCGUUUAAUCGGAAUUACUGGGCGUAAAGCGCACGCAGGCGGUUUGUUAAGUCAGAUGUGAAAUCCCCGGGCUCAACCUGGGAACUGCAUUUGAAACUGGCAAGCUAGAGUCUCGUAGAGGGGGGGUAGAAUUCCAGGUGUAGCGGUGAAAUGCGUAGAGAUCUGGAGGAAUACCGGUGGCGAAGGCGGCCCCCUGGACGAAGACUGACGCUCAGGUGCGAAAGCGUGGGGAGCAAACAGGAUUAGAUACCCUGGUAGUCCACGCUGUAAACGAUGUCGAUUUGGAGGUUGUGCCCUUGAGGCGUGGCUUCCGGAGCUAACGCGUUAAAUCGACCGCCUGGGGAGUACGGCCGCAAGGUUAAAACUCAAAUGAAUUGACGGGGGCCCGCACAAGCGGUGGAGCAUGUGGUUUAAUUCGAUGCAACGCGAAGAACCUUACCUACUCUUGACAUCCAGAGAACUUUCCAGAGAUGGAUUGGUGCCUUUCGGGAACUCUGAGACAGGUGCUGCAUGGCUGUCGUCAGCUCGUGUUGUGAAAUGUUGGGUUAAGUCCCGCAACGAGCGCAACCCUUAUCCUUUGUUGCCAGCGGUUCGGCCGGGAACUCAAAGGAGACUGCCAGUGAUAAACUGGAGGAAGGUGGGGAUGACGUCAAGUCAUCAUGGCCCUUACGAGUAGGGCUACACACGUGCUACAAUGGCAUAUACAAAGAGAAGCGACCUCGCGAGAGCAAGCGGACCUCAUAAAGUAUGUCGUAGUCCGGAUUGGAGUCUGCAACUCGACUCCAUGAAGUCGGAAUCGCUAGUAAUCGUAGAUCAGAAUGCUACGGUGAAUACGUUCCCGGGCCUUGUACACACCGCCCGUCACACCAUGGGAGUGGGUUGCAAAAGAAGUAGGUAGCUUAACCUUCGGGAGGGCGCUUACCACUUGGGAUUCAGGGC